GAUGAACGCUGGCGGCGUGCCUAAUACAUGCAAGUCGAACGGGGAGUCGCAAUACUCUUAGUGGCGAACGGGUGAGUAACGCGUUGGUACCUGCCCCGAAGCGGGGGAUAACGGACCGAAAGGUCCGCUAAUACCCCAUGUGCUCGGUAACGAGUAAAGGUGAAAACCACUUUGGGAGGGGCAUGCGUCCCAUCAGCUAGUUGGUAAGGUAACGGCUUACCAAGGCGAUGACGGGUAGGGGACCUGAGAGGGUGGCCCCCCACAAUGGAACUGAAACACGGUCCAGACACCUACGGGUGGCAGCAGUAGGGAAUAUUGGUAAUGGGCGCAAGCCUGAACCAGCAACGCCGCGUGUGCGAUGACGGCCUUCGGGGUGUAAAGCACUUUUGACUGGGACGAGGAAGGACGGUACCGGUCGAAUCAGCCUCGGCUAACUACGUG
rnacentral:rRNA from 1 species